CACGUGAGAAACCUGCCUCGGAGUGGGGAAUAACUCGGGGAAACUCGAGCUAAUACCGCAUACCCUCACAUGAUCGCAUGGUCGAGUGAAGAAAGAAUUUCGCUCUGAGAGGGUCUCGCGGCCUAUCAGCUUGUUGGUGGGGUAACGGCCUACCAAGGCAACGACGGGUAGCUGGUUUGAGAGAACGAUCAGCCACACUGGGACUGAGACACGGCCCAGACUCCUACGGGAGGCAGCAGUGGGGAAUCUUGCGCAAUGGGCGAAAGCCUGACGCAGCAACGCCGCGUGCGGGAUGACGGCCUUCGUGGUUGUAAACCGCUUUCAGCAGGGACGAAAAUGACGGUACCUGCAGAAGAAGCCCCGGCUAACUACGUG
rnacentral:rRNA from 1 species